rnacentral:rRNA from 1 species
AUUGAACGCUGGCGGCAGGCCUAACACAUGCAAGUCGAGCGGAUGAAGGGAGCUUGCUCCUGGAUUCAGCGGCGGACGGGUGAGUAAUUCCUAGGAAUCUGCCUGGUAGUGGGGGAUAACGUCCGGACACGGGCGCUAAUAUCGCAUACGUCCUGAGUGAGAACGUGGUGGAUCUUCGGACCUCACGCUAUCAGAUGAGCCUAGGUCGGAUUAGCUAGUUGGUGGGGUAAAGGCCUACCAAGGCGACGAUCCGUAACUGGUCUGAGAGGAUGAUCAGUCACACUGGAACUGAGACACGGUCCAGACUCCUACGGGAGGCAGCAGUGGGGAAUAUUGGACAAUGGGCGAAAGCCUGAUCCAGCCAUGCCGCGUGUGUGAAGAAGGUCUUCGGAUUGUAAAGCGCUUUAAGUUGGGAGGAAGGGCAGUAAGUUAAUACCUUGCUGUUUUGACGUUACCAACAGAAUAAGCACCGGCUAACUUCGUG